GCAACGCCGGCUUUUCGGGCCUAGGGGGAGGUGGAGCUGGCUCGGAGGGUGGUUGUGGUGGCGGAAGAGGUUCGGCGGCUGAUGGCGGUACAAGCUCGGAAGCCUCUCUAACGUUCCUUCUGUCCCGGAGCUCCUCGCUGGAUUCACAAUGACAUCCUUUCAAGAAGUCCCCUUGCAGACUUCCAACUUUGCCCAUGUCAUCUUUCAAAAUGUGGCCAAGAGUUACCUUCCUAAUGCACACCUGGAAUGUCAUUACACCUUAACUGCAUAUAUCCAUCCACAUCCAAAAGAUUGGGUUGGUAUAUUCAAGAUUAAAAGGCAAAUUCCCUUGCGUGUUAAGGGAUGGAAAUCUGUCUGAAUUCUGAAAUCUGAAUUCCAAUCAAGUUCUAACCAGGUGACCAGGAAAAUAAAGAGAAACAAGCUGUGACUUGGA